GUAUGCAGUAAGUGCUUACCACCAUCAGGGGCAUUUGACAUGGAAUAGCCCAUUUAAUCCUAACAUGCUCAUAACCACCUAAGGAGAUGAGGAGACUGAGGCACAGAAGGGGAUGGGCCUCACACAAGGUCACGGAGCUGGUGAGCAGCACAGGUUAUGGAGAAAAAACGAUUCUACCCCAGAACCUCAGGUCAACUACGGAUGGAAUAAAGACUCAGGAAAAGUAAAACUGUAGAAUGGA